rnacentral:piRNA from 1 species
UGGGCUCAGUGGGUAGACAAAUCUCCAGU